CAAUAGCGUAUAUUAAAGUUGUUGCAGUUAAAAAGCUCGUAGUUGAACUUCAGACCUGGCCGGGCGGUCUACCUCGCGGUAUGUACUAUCUGGCCGGGUCUUACCUCUUGGUGAGCCGGUAUGCCCUUCACUGGGUGUGCCGGGGAACCAGGACCUUUACCUUGAGAAAAUUAGAGUGUUCAAAGCAGGCCUAUGCCCGAAUACAUUAGCAUGGAAUAAUAAAAUAGGACGUGCGGUUCUAUUUUGUUGGUUUCUAGAGUCGCCGUAAUGAUUAAUAGGGAUAGUUGGGGGCAUUCGUAUUCAGUUGCUAGAGGUGAAAUUCUUGGAUUUACUGAAGACGAACUAUUGCGAAAGCAUUUGCCAAGGAUGUUUNCAUUAA
rnacentral:rRNA from 1 species